rnacentral:lncRNA from 1 species
CAGUUAAACUCUUCUGUGAUUACAGUACUGACAGCAGUAAACCCUAAUCCUAACAACAAUUUGUUUUCAAAUAUUAGAUUUAAAUGAACUUGUGACUACAUAGGAAUAUCUUUCACAAUUUGAUAUUUUCACACACUACAAGCCUGCAUACAAACCUGAGGAGCACAUGCUUAUCCUAUUCCUAUUCUAACAUGGGAAUAGUGUCACCAACAACUAAACAUUGUCAAUACAAACAGGUGUAUUCACAUUCAAGGAACGAGGCAUGGGGCUUAAGUGCAAUCAAUCGCUCUGAGCAUAAUGCUGAUAUUGCCUAUACUGUUUACUUAGAUAUCUUGAGUAUACUCGAUUUUGAAAUUGCAAAGUACACAAACAAAAACAUUUUAGAAUGUAAACUUCAAAUGCCUUAAUGGCUUACAUAUAUGCCAGUUUUAUUUUUCUGCACACUGGAUACCUCAGAAUAAACAGGCACUAUAAGCAGUAAAUACUUUCAGUAGACAGUAGUCAGAACCUGUUUUGCCCCAGGGCCAAGGACUAUGUGACACACCUGUGUGAAACUCAGAGCAAACAAAACAGUUUAAUGUGCUCUAACGGUUGAUGAGCCACUCCUCCGCCUUGUUUGUUCCCCCGAAGAUUGCUCACCAGCAGUAUUUCCACUGGAAAGACUGCGGUGAGCAGAUGCCUCACAAAGACUAUUGCCGAAUUGGCAUUGAUGGCAUAGGCCCACGCCAGUUUCUCAACCUGGACACAAGAAGACUGGGAGGCAGUCAGGGAUGGAGACACAGAUGUGGAACUGGAUCUGGGGAGGGACAGUGAAGUGGCACAUGGAGAACUGGACCUGGACUGCGGAGACCCUGGAAGGGCCGGUAAUGCUUUGGUAGGCUCCACCCUGGAUCUCUUAGGAGGUGUAGCCGAAUCUAUUAUAUUCCUCAAGCUCAGUAGGAGUCCUGGCACAUCUAGACACAGUACAUCAAAAACAAUAAUUUAUUAUUAUCACUCCUUUAGGACAAUACAGCCAAUUCAGCUUAUAGUCAUUUAGAGAAAGGUUUAUUACUUGUCUGAUGGUUCAGUACUUGAUAUGAAUCAAUGAUACCUUAAAGAACAAUCUCCUUCAACUUCACGUUCUCUUCUUUCAGGUCCUUGAUCUCUUGCUUUAAUUCAACCAUAGUCUGUGUCGGACUGUUGUGAUUAUCUGAAGAAGGCUGUGAUUGACCGUAUCGCCUAAGAAACUCUUCUGCAGGGUCUAUCCUCCUGGGAGCCUUUGACUUCUGGGUGUCAAGAGAUAGGAAAAAAUUAAAAAUAAAAUAUAAAGACAGCUAUUGCUGGUGUUGAGCAGCCAUUAUGUACAAUCAAUAUCAAGAAUCCUUACAGAUUUAGCUAGAUAGUAAUGCCUAUUACACAAUAGUGCCAACUCCUUACACAUUCUAUGCACAUUGUACCACUGGGAAAUAUGGUCAUUGCAUAGGAGCUAAAAGUAAAUUUACGUUACCUUUGCUUGCUGAGACUGAGUUUCAAUAUCAGUUGAGCAAUCUGAAUCGUCCCCAUAUUUUAGGGGGGCCACUGAGACCCUCUUUGUCAGCUCUGUAGGUUCUUCUUCCUUCAGCAGUGAGUUCAGUUUACGGAUUGAAAACAAAAGCAAAUAGACCAGAGUUAGACUCAAACAGCUGAUUACACCAGAUCACCCUCUUGUAACACUAAAACUGAAAAUAUACGUGAAGUUAGUGAUGUGCUGUGUGCUCCAAAAUAAGUGCAAGCACUGCAUGCAUGCUCUGUAUGUAUUGCUCAUAUACUUGUAUACUUGCAUACCCUAUGUAUACUCUACGCAAUAUUCAGGGGGUUCUGCAUAAGGUAUACAUGACACCUGACAUAAACAACUAUUCAAAAAGCUUUAUUCAACCUGGUUUCAACUGUCAAAGUAUUAUUAUCUCAUCUCAUUUUUAACAUAGUUACAUUUUUAGUUCAUUUUUGACAUAGUUGUCAGAUGACAUACUGAUUGUGGCACUUACAGUGUCAAAACCACAUAGUACUUGUGUUUGUGUGAAUUAGAGUAAGUUAGUAACUCUUAACUUACCACUAACAAAAAUGACAGUGCCUCUGUAGUGAGGCCAGCCUCCUCGUUGUUUCCUCCCAAGGGCCAUAUCAAUUACAAAAGUAGGUGGCAAAGGGAUUCCCAUCCUCGUCCAUCUUGGAAUCAUCAUACCCCCUUAUGGCAUCAGUUUUUAUGUCACUGAGCUUCCUAAAAUCCUCCCCUUCACUCCACCGCACCACUGCAAACUUCCUCUCCAUGUGUUCUUAAAUGAUCAAAUAAAUAAAAAUCAUUGUUUGGCUUAACAAUCAAUAAAUGACUGGCAGAGAGAAACUGUUAUCAAGCUAACAUUUAACAUCAGUAUUCUGACAAGAAACACUUCUAAUAUUAGGUAUCUGCAGGGUUAGGCAAGUUAUAUUUAAGUUUUUUUAUUGCCAAUCAAAAUGAAAUUUAAGACCCAUUUUGAAUAUAUUGGGAUACACAAUUCUGUUGUCUAAAUUGAUCAUUUCAAGUACAUAUUAAAUUUGAUUUGAAAUAUCCAAAGGAAUAUAAUCUGAAAAUUGCAGAUUAGGUUAUUGAUAGGUUAAGUGAUUUAAUAGAGGUGAGCAGAUAAUGUGAUAUGUCUUUAUGGUUCUUGUGAUAUUAAUUUCUUUCAUAUAACGUUAGCCCAGUGCUACCUGUCAGGUGCCUCUAUAGCCUACAACCAACCAGAAAGGGUCCGGUGGGUCCGGUGUUUCCUAUUAACAGACGGUAACGUUAGAGAAAUACUGAAAGCACAUUAACGUUAACUUACUGACUACAAGAUGUUCUUGAACAUGAACAUUUUGGCCAAAGGCUGUGCAACCAAAUGUAGUAUGUGGUUAAAUCUCAUGUUACACAAUUUUACUAAGGAUUUUGUGUCUUGUUUGACUGUAAUAUAUUUUUAACAAAUUUCAGAUAAA